UAACAUAAUACUGAAUUAUUCUUGUUCUGUUCUGACAGACUUUUAAAUAAAAGGUCAUCUCAUACUAUUGCGGUGAGUUUGGAUAACUGUAUGUCUGCUUUGUAUAGUCUGAGUUUGUAUUGUUCCGUUACUGUCAUUCACUGGUUCUUGAAGGAGAACAGAGAAAGCCGUGCAUCGGGGUUUCAGAAAUCAUGCAGCAUGCUGAAGAACGCUGAGACAAAUGAGUAUUGCCCUUUUUUGACCACAAUGUUGUGGGGUUUUUUUUCAAGAUCCUUGAUGUACAUUUAAAGAAAUAUGUGCUUCCAGUUAUAAUAUUAACACAUUUUACCACAGAAAUUAACAGUUUCUUUUUAAUUAGGGAUGUCUACACUUUUAAAAGGGACACGCUUAAGACUAAUAAAAUUGGAGGAAUGGACCUGGAUAGAUCUGGGAUAAGAUGCAGGUGAAAUGUUGCAACACUGCCCUCUGGUGAAAUAUUAAGGCAACUGAUGUGUUGCUUAUGACUACAUUUAAAAGCUUUUUGACUACAUUUAAAUGCUCAAUCACUUUUUUUUAUAGUGAAAUCAGUACCUCCUAUGCUUAUCCCAGCUCUACAAAGAAAGCUCCAGGUCUUAAGGUUUGCUAUUUAGUCUUUAGCAACUACAAUCACAUGCACAAUUUAUGCCAUGCACACAAUGUGUAUGAUUUUACCCCAAGGCCCCAAGACGUAAUGAUAAGAAGUAUCUAUUCAGUGACACAGACACAGACAAUGCCACUGAGCACAGCUGGUUGAAGUCAUCCAGACGGAAGCCCAAGCCUAAAGUGGUGGACUACAGCAGGCAGCCAAAUAAACCCCUUCCAGUAGCCUUCAGUGCAUAUAAGUUCCCGGAUUUGCAGUGUCUGUCUCCAAAAGCAGUGAAAGAACAGGCCAAAAGGAAAAGACCACAGAAGAAGCCUGAAGAACUGAAGGACAACCCGGUGCCUGCUGUUACAAACAGAUUAAGCCAAAGACCGCAGCGAGCUGUGGCCAAAGCUACAAAAAGCUACAAAGACCCAUCUGAUAUCUCUAGCCAAUCAGAGGUGGAGGAAUCUCCAGCCUUGAAGACCAAAUUGAAGAGGGCAGUCGUACAAACAGAAGAGAGUGAGAAAUCUUCUCUGGAACAGGACAUAAAGAAGAAAAAGAUUUCUCACAUGCAGGAAACUAGAGAAAAGCACGCAGGAUCUUGGGUUGCCAAAGUGGCAUCUUUGUGCCCCAGCCCGUCCCCUGUUGAGAUAAUGAGAUCUUCAGAGAAGUCUACACAUUCACCUGCAUCACCUACUACACCUCUCCGGCAGCUCUCCCUCUCGCCUGUUGGGGCUCCGGCUGUGAAAAUGCGUAGAAGCUUUAAGGGAAUCAGGGCCUCUUCUUUCUAUCGGCCAUGUGUUGGUAAAAACAGCUUUAAUGCCACCCCAUUGGCCUCUUUAACCAUAGACGACAAGAUGACUGUAACCGCCUCCAAGGUCAGUGGCAGCUGA
ensembl:lncRNA